GGAAACGGGGCGGGCGGGAUGUAACGCGGGGAGAGAGGGGCUGAGGGGAAGACGGAGGGCGCGGGGGCGGGCAGGCAAACGGUGGGAGGGGCGGAGGGGAUAAGCAGAUGUGGCGGGGCUGGGAGGAAAACGGGGCCACCCGGACGGAUAGGAAAAACUGCGGGAGCGGGGCUGAGCGGAAAAUGGUGGCGGGGAGAGGCGAGGGCUGGGGCCGAGGGCAGGAGCGGACCGGUGAACUCGGCCGGGGAGAAACCGGGAGCGGGAAUGAGAGGAAAGGAGGCGGGGGCGGGAGCCAACAGGAAGGGCAGCGGGCACCGGGUGCAGCCGGCGGCGGAAGGGACGCGGGCCGGUUACCAACGAGCGGGUGGAGGGGGUGAGGAAGGUUUAGUCCAAAAAAAUGAAGGGGGUGUGGCGGGGAGAGGGGCUGAGGGGCAAACGCGGGAAGGGAACGGAAUAGCUCCGGUACUUGAGAAAACGGGGGGCGAUCAGGGAGGAGACUGUCGGAUAAAAAUGAGGACCCGAAGACAGAAUUGUCGGGCCCGGGGUCCCGGGGAGAGCCGGGUGAGAAGCGUGGGGGAAAGUAAUCGGGCUGGAGGAUAAAAUUGGGGACCUGAGGAGACCGGGGCUCAGAGGUUAAAUGGGAGCCGAGGUAGAGGCUGGGAGUAAGUGGAAGAGCUGAGAAGAGGUAAGCCGCGAUUUUUAAAAAGGAAACUGGAGGGUGAAAAGCAGAGCAUGCCAAGGUUAAAAUGAGGCAGGGGCAGCCAGCCAGAAGAAAGAGGGAUCUAACAAGAGCUGAGGGUCCAAACAUGGGCAAGCCGGGUAAACGUAUGUGACCUAGGAGGCCUGCGGCGGGACACAGGUGCCUCGGACCGCAGGGAAGAGAGGUGGAGCAAGACAGAGGGAAGGCGAAGGAGAAGACAACCAGCAUCUUCUAAGUCACCUUUACAUCCAGAAGGAUCUCAUUUCAGCCUCACCACAACCCUGUAAGCCCUUCAGCAGGCAUGGUGUUGAGGGUGUCAAGUCAAAGCAGAAUGAAAAGCUCUUCUUCGGUGUAGCUUUCCAAGCUUCUCAGACAAGAUAAUGAAGGACAGUUCUCUUCUUCACACUGGCCUGUCUUCUUGAACCAUGUCAUUCUGCUGCUCACUGCUGUCAUCUGCACAGGAAGGAAAAGC